UACGUAGGGGGCAAGCGUUGUCCGGAUUAUUGGGCGUAAAGAGCGUGUAGGCGGCUGGGUAGGUCCGUUGUGAAAACUCGAGCUCAACCUCGAGACGCCGAUGGAAACCCUCCAGCUAGAGUCCGGAAGAGGAGAGUGGAAUUCCUGGUGUAGCGGUGAAAUGCGCAGAUAUCAGGAAGAACACCCGUGGCUAAGGCGGCUCUCUAGUACGGUACUGACGCUGAGACGCGAAAGCAUGGGGAGCAAACAGG
rnacentral:rRNA from 1 species